UACGGAGGGUGCAAGCGUUAUCCGGAUUCACUGGGCUUAAAGGGUGCGUAGGCGGGCUAGUAAGUCCGUGGUGAAAUCCCCGAGCUUAACUCGGGAACUGCCGUGGAUACUAUUAGUCUUGAAUAUCGUGGAGGUAAGCGGAAUAUGUCAUGUAGCGGUGAAAUGCUUAGAUAUGACAUAGAACACCGAUAGCGGAGGCAGCUUACUACGCGAUUAUUGACACUGAGGCACGAAAGCGUGGGGAGCAAACAGG
rnacentral:rRNA from 1 species